CCCCUCCCCUCCCUCAGUCGCCGCGCGCGCGUCGGCCGCAGGUUGCUCUCGCGCUGCUCGCCUGUUUCCCCAUUGGCUCGUGCCCUCGCGCUGCUGGAGUUCCUCCUAGAAUUUGGACCCAAGGGAUGCCAGGAACGCUGUAGGAGACCCCUCUUCCCACCCUCCACCCCGCAGCGAGCUGCCUCGGGGCUCUGGCUUCAUGAGAUCCC